UACGGAGGGUGCAAGCGUUAAUCGGAAUUACUGGGCGUAAAGCGCACGCAGGUGGCUGAGUCAGUCGAUUGUGAAAGCCCUGGGCUUAACCUGGGAAUUGCAGUCGAUACUACUUAGCUAGAGUAUGGGAGAGGGCAGUGGAAUUCCCGGUGUAGCGGUGAAAUUUGUAGAUAUCGGGAGGAACACCGGUGGCGAAGGCGGCGACCUGGGUCGAUACUGACGCUGAGGUGCGAAAGCGUGGGGAGCAAACAGG
rnacentral:rRNA from 1 species